GACGAACGCUGGCGGCGUGCCUAAUACAUGCAAGUCGAACGCUGAAGGAGGAGCUUGCUCUUCUGGAUGAGUUGCGAACGGGUGAGUAACGCGUAGGUAACCUGCCUGGUAGCGGGGGAUAACUAUUGGAAACGAUAGCUAAUACCGCAUAACAGUAGAUGUUGCAUGACAUUUGCUUAAAAGGUGCAAUUGCACCACUACCAGAUGGACCUGCGUUGUAUUAGCUAGUUGGUGGGGUAACGGCUCACCAAGGCGACGAUACAUAGCCGACCUGAGAGGGUGAUCGGCCACACUGGGACUGAGACACGGCCCAGACUCCUACGGGAGGCAGCAGUAGGGAAUCGUCGGCAAUGGACGGAAGUCUGACCGAGCAACGCCGCGUGAGUGAAGAAGGUUUUCGGAUCGUAAAGCUCUGUUGUAAGAGAAGAACGAGUGUGAGAGUGGAAAGUUCACACUGUGACGGUAUCUUACCAGAAAGGGACGGCUAACUACGU
rnacentral:rRNA from 1 species